UGCAGUCGAGCGAGAAGUUUACUUCUAGCGGCGAACGGGUGAGUAACACGUAUCUAACCUGCCCAUCAAUCUGGAAUAACAACGAGAAAUUGUUGCUAAUGCCGGAUAGGUAAUAUUUACUUAUGUUUAUAUUAUUAAAGGAGCGUUUGCUUCGUUGAUGAAUGGGGAUGCGCAGCAUUAGGUAGUUGGUAGGGUAAAGGCCUACCAAGCCAACGAUGCUUAGCCGGCCUGAGAGGGUGAUCGGCCACACUGGAACUGAGACACGGUCCAGACUCCUACGGGAGGCAGCAGUAGGGAAUUUUCGACAAUGGGGGAAACCCUGAUCGAGCAACACCGCGUGAGGGAUGAAGGAUUUCGGUCUGUAAACCUCUGUUGUAAGGGAAGAACAAGUAGAAUAGGAAAUGAUUUUACUCUGACGGUACCUUACCAGAAAGCGACGGCUAACUUCGUGCCAGCAGCCGCGGUAAUACGAAGGUCGCAAGCGUUAUCCGGAAUCACUGGGCAUAAAGCGUCUGUAGGUUGUUUAGUAAGUCUGCUGUUAAAUACUAGGGCUUAACCCUAGGCCAGCAGUGGAAACUGCUAGACUUGAGUGUGGUAGAGGUAGAGGGAAUUCCUAGUGUAGCGGUGAAAUGCGUAGAUAUUAGGAAGAACACCAAUGGCGAAAGCACUCUACUGGGCCAUAACUGACACUGAGAGACGAUAGCUAGGGGAGCAAAUGGGAUUAGAUACCCUGGUAGUCCCCU
rnacentral:rRNA from 1 species